rnacentral:rRNA from 1 species
GAUGAACGCUGGCGGCGUGCUUAACACAUGCAAGUCGAGCGAGAAGUUUUGAAAAGAUUCUUCGGAUGAAAUUUAAAAUGGAAAGCGGCGGACGGGUGAGUAACGCGUAGGCAACCUGCCCCAUACAAAGGGAUAGCAUUUGGAAACGAAUAUUAAUACCUUAUGAAACUUAACUAGUGCAUGCUAGGUAGGUCAAAGAUUUAUCGGUAUGGGAUGGGCCUGCGUCUGAUUAGCUAGUUGGUGAGGUAACGGCUCACCAAGGCGACGAUCAGUAGCCGACCUGGGAGGGUGAACGGCCACAUUGGAACUGAGACACGGUCCAAACUCCUACGGGAGGCAGCAGUGGGGAAUAUUGCACAAUGGGGGAAACCCUGAUGCAGCAACGCCGCGUGAACGAGGAAGGCCUUUGGGUCGUAAAGUUCUGUUCUAGGUGAUGAAAACUGACAGUAACCUAGGAGAAAGCCCCGGCUAACUCCGUG